AAAUGACUCUCGGCAACGGAUAUCCCGGCUCUUGCAUCGAUGAAGAACGUAGCGAAAUGCGAUACUUGGUGUGAAUUGCAGAAUCCCGUGAACCAUUGAGUCUUUGAACGCAAGUUGCGCCCGAAGCCACUAGGCUGAGGGCACGUCUGCUUGGGUGUCACGC
rnacentral:rRNA from 1 species